rnacentral:rRNA from 1 species
AUGACGGAGAGCGCGGGAUCGCAGCGUAGGAAGGGAAAAGAGAUGGCGGAGGAUCUUCUGGCAAGGCUCACUUUGCAGGAAGAGGAGGAGGAUGAUUUCGUCUGGGAGGAAGAGUUGACUGACAGUUUGGAACCUGCAAAGUGGUUGGCGAUUGCCCGCGUCCACACGGCGAAAUCGUUCAGCCCUAAUGCUCUCUACGGGGAUAUGCGGGCGGCCUGGAACCCAGCUAGACCGGUGGUGUGGAGAAAGAUCAAGGAGAACCUCUUCACGGCGCAAUUUGGAUGUCUUGGUGACUGGAAUAAGGCCAUGCUUGAGGGGCCAUGGUUGUUCAGAGAUCAGGCGGUGAUCAUGGAGGAAUAUGAUGGCUUUAAAAACCCUGAUUCGUUUAAACUCAACAAGCUGGCUGUUUGGGCUCAGAUCCACCGGCUACCGAACAACUUUUUGAUUGAACCAGCAGUGAGGGGACUGGCCUCCAGGAUCGGCGAGGUGGAAGAAGUACAACUGAAACUGCCUGCAGGUUACUUUGGGGAGUUUGUCAGGGUGAAGAUAAAGAUAGAUAUCAACGCCAAGAUCAAACAUUUCGUCACCGGAAAAAAGGGGGAUGAGAGGAUCAAAUAUCAAGGUAAGUAUGAGAAGCUGCCUAUCUUCUGCUAUAAUUGUGGGGAAUUUGGUCAUUGGCAUGAGGAAUGCGGAGAUGGAGAGCAUGAUGAGAUGUCUUUCGAGUGGGGCGAUUUUCUCUUUGCUGAUAAUGUUCGCUUCAGGCCCUUUGGCCGGGGGAACCCUGCUCCGCAGCGUGGUAGGGGUGGCCCGGGGAUGGGCGGUCGUGGGAGAGGACGUGAACAGUAUAACCCAGAUCGUAGCUGGCGCUUUAACGCUCAGUAG